rnacentral:lncRNA from 1 species
UCUGAGGUCCGCCAGCAACACUUCAAUCAAGCACAAGGUUCUCAAAUCGUGUUAUUGAAAUGGGACUCUCUUUCAUUUGCAGAUUGCAAUGAAGGACAAGUGGAAGGGUGACAGCUUGAAGCAGGGAGUCUCCUGUGUUUGUGGAAGUUCCCUGCAUGCUUCAGAAUGCUGGAGAGUCAUCUCUGCUGAGAUGUAAGCUUCACUAAAUCACUGAAUCAAUCUUCUUCCCAGGAAUAUACAGGAUGAUCCACAGAUAAGGAAUCUACAGUCGGCAAAUGGAAGAGGGUGACGGCGCUAGAAACUCAGUUGAGCAGCCCCAAACUAUCCAGAAUGUACACAUAGUAACAACACAGGAAGGGCAGUCUACUCAUCCUUCUGGGAGCCGGAGAACUGCUGCCGAACACCCGGCCGUGGAUUCCCCAUUGCUACCCCAGGUUCCUGUAGGCGAGAAUGUUACUGGGGAGCGAGCGCAAUGCUCUGCGAGAGGAGAACCAGCUAUACAUCUUCCCCCACCCAUUCAGGAUUCGACGCUGGCAACAUGUCAGCACAUUGUUGGUCUCCUUGGACAAAUCACUGAUCAGCAGGACAGCAUCAUGAGAGAACUGCGGGUCAUGCGCAGAGAGAUGCGGCUUUUGAAAGGUGAACAGCGCCGGACCACUGCCAG